AUUGAACGCUGGCGGCAGGCCUAACACAUGCAAGUCGAGCGCGAAAGUUCUUCGGAAUGAGUAGAGCGGCGGACGGGUGAGUAAUGCAUAGGAAUCUGCCCAGUAGUGGGGGAUAGCCCGGGGAAACCCGGAUUAAUACCGCAUACGUCCUACGGGAGAAAGCAGGGGAUCUUCGGACCUUGCGCUAUUGGAUGAGCCUAUGUCGGAUUAGCUUGUUGGUGGGGUAACGGCCCACCAAGGCGACGAUCCGUAGCUGGUCUGAGAGGAUGAUCAGCCACACUGGAACUGAGACACGGUCCAGACUCCUACGGGAGGCAGCAGUGGGGAAUAUUGCACAAUGGGGGAAACCCUGAUGCAGCCAUGCCGCGUGUGUGAAGAAGGCCUUCGGGUUGUAAAGCACUUUCAGUAGGGAGGAAGGCCCUAAAGUUAAUACCUUUGGGGAUUGACGUUACCUACAGAAGAAGCACCGGCUAACUCCGUG
rnacentral:rRNA from 1 species